GAUGAACGCUGGCGGCGUGCCUAAUACAUGCAAGUCGAGCGAAUGGAUUGAGAGCUUGCUCUUAUGAAGUUAGCGGCGGACGGGUGAGUAACACGUGGGUAACAUGCCCAUAAGACUGGGAUAACUCCGGGAAACCGGGGCUAAUACCGGAUAACAUUUUGAACCGCAUGGUUCGAAAUUGAAAGGCGGCUUCGGCUGUCACUUAUGGAUGGACCCGCGUCGCAUUAGCUAGUUGGUGAGGUAACGGCUCACCAAGGCAACGAUGCGUAGCCGGCCUGGGAGGGGGAUCGGCGAAACUAGGACUGGGGCACGGCCCAGACUCCUACGGGAGGCAGCAGUAGGGAAUCUUCCGCAAUGGACGAAAGUCUGACGGAGCAACGCCGCGUGAGUGAUGAAGGCUUUCGGGUCGUAAAACUCUGUUGUUAGGGAAGAACAAGUGCUAGUUGAAUAAGCUGGCACCUUGACGGUACCUAACCAGAAAGCCACGGCUAACUACGUGCCAGCCGCCGCAGUAA
rnacentral:rRNA from 1 species